rnacentral:rRNA from 1 species
GAUAAACGCUGGCGGCGUGCCUAAUACAUGCAAGUCGAGCGGUAAGGCUCUGCACAGGUUUAUUUUGAUCGAGAUUUUAUUCUUUACGUUUUCCUCCGGCUAGAGGAAGCAAAAAGAUCGAAUAAUGUGCGUAGAGUACACGAGCGGCGGACGGCUGAGUAAAGCGUAGGAACAUACCCCAAAGUGAGGAUAAGCACCAGAAAUGGUGUCUAAUACCGCAUAUGGUCUUC